ACGCUCGACACCUACGGGAGCAGCAGUGGGGAAUAUUGCACAAUGGGGGAAACCCUGAUGCAGCGACGCCGCGUGAGUGAAGAAGUAUUUCGGUAUGUAAAGCUCUAUCAGCAGGGAAGAAAAUGACGGUACCUGACUAAGAAGCCCCGGCUAACUACGUGGCAGCAGCCGCGGUAAUCUGAGCGGGCUGGCAAGGC
rnacentral:rRNA from 1 species